rnacentral:rRNA from 1 species
GACAGAGGUGCCAAGCGUUAGGCGGAAUCACUGGGCUUAAAGCGUGUGUAGGCGGAUCGUUAAGUACCUUGUGAAAUCCCACGGCUCAACCGUGGAACUGCUGGGUAUACUGGCGAUCUUGAGCCACCUAGGGGCGAGCGGAACAAGCGGUGGAGCGGUGAAAUGCGUAGAUAUCGCUUGGAACGCCAAUGGUGAAAACAGCUCGCUGGGGUGUGCUGACGCUGAGACACGAAAGCCAGGGGAGCGAACGGG